GGCGGAGAACACGACGAACUACGCCUCUCUCCUCUAUCUCUUCGAACACGAAAAACUAAUCCCUCUUGCCUGUUCAGUCGCUAUUAAUCUCGAUACAACUUCUCGCGGAUAAACAGGUUAAUUAGUUAACUCCUUUUGUAAUCAAAUUUUCCUUUCGUUAUGUUUGAUUCCUCUUAUACGUUUUUGGUAACCAAAUUUUUGUCCAAGCUGAAUCGUUCUAAAUAUGUAGUAAACCUAUCAUCUUAAUUCGUCGAUUAGUCACAUAAUUCGACUUUUGUUUUGGCGUUCACAGUUCACACUAAUGACUGUUGUUGUUGAUUCUUCCCAGGUUCUGAUUGCAUCGCCUCAAAGGUUUGUCAAUAUCGGUUAGUUUCUUUGUUAAUAUUGUGCCACACCAUCUCUUUCAUCACAUGAUCUUAGUCGGUUCUUUCUCUACAAUCAGCUGAUUGCUUCAUGACUUUCCUACUUUGGCGUAUUGAAACUCAUAUCCAGGAGCUGGAGGAGGAGCUUAAGCUUCUCAAGAAUCACUCUCAAGUCUCAACCAAAUAUAGUUAGAGAGAUAGACAAGGUUUUCUAAUAAGCAGCUUUUCCUUCGUCUCAGUGAGUCUCCUCUUUCCAUGGACGAUGGGAGAAGAAGAGAAGCGGGAAGAAAUAUGGAUGUUAUUAGUGAGGUAGCUGGAGCAUUGGCCACGGCUGAGGGA